rnacentral:rRNA from 1 species
AGUGAACGCUGGCGGUAGGCCUAACACAUGCAAGUCGAACGGCAGCACAGGAGAGCUUGCUCUCUGGGUGGCGAGUGGCGGACGGGUGAGGAAUACAUCGGAAUCUACUCUGUCGUGGGGGAUAACGUAGGGAAACUUACGCUAAUACCGCAUACGACCUACGGGUGAAAGCAGGGGACCUUCGGGCCUUGCGCGAUUGAAUGAGCCGAUGUCGGAUUAGCUAGUUGGCGGGGUAAAGGCCCACCAAGGCGACGAUCCGUAGCUGGUCUGAGCAGAUGAUCAGCCACACUGGAACUGAGGCACGGUCCAGGCUCCUACGGGAGGCAGCAGUGGGGAAUAUUGGACAAUGGGCGCAAGCCUGAUCCAGCCAUACCGCGUGGGUGAAGAAGGCCUUCGGGUUGUAAAGCCCUUUUGUUGGGAAAGAAAUCCAGCUGGCUAAUACCCGGUUGGGAUGACGGUACCCAAAGAAUAAGCACCGGCUAACUUCGUGCCAGCCGCCGCCGUAA